rnacentral:misc_RNA from 1 species
UCAUAAUUGAAAACACUAGUUUAUUAUUUAUGUGACACUAAUCAGUGCACUGAUGCUCUUAGGUAACUGAGUUAGUUGUCUCAUUUUAUGUAAUGUAGAAAAUCUCUCUCUUUCAUUGGUUGUUACUUUUCUUACAUCCUGUAAUUUGCCAUUUCCUAUUAACUCUUUCUCAAUGAAUUUCUAUUUAUAAUAAUCAGAUAUCUUGUUUAAUUUGUGGAUAAACAAAAUAUUUUGUUUUAUAUAGACAUACUAAAAAAUCGAGAUCAACAUCAUCGUUAGAGAAGUCUGCUUCAAAUAUUGGUGAACUUACAAAGUCUAGUAGAAGAUCUAAGAUGCGUAUUAAGAUCCCCGUGUCUGGGACUUUACCGACAGUUCACGACCUUUCAGCUCCAGCACUUAAAACUGUGAUGCCACAUUCACCACCAACAGUGUCAUCUCCUUUAAGUCCUGUUGUACCCAAAACAGGGGCAGAUUCUCGAAGACUAGAAUUUCAGAAGAGUAAAACUGGAGGGUCAUCAUACACAAUGGCCAGUUUCAGCACUAGUGGGUCAGUAGAUUACUUCACACCCCCAUCAACACCACAAGCGUCUACUAGUGAAGACACUGGUACUUUUUUUCCACCAGGCAGUGACCUUCAUACUCAGCUACUAGCGGAAAUUACUCAGAAAUCUAAGUUGCGUAAAUCUUUCUCAGAUGAAAGACCUUCUGACGGUUAAAGUAAUAUAAUCUAUUAAAGACAAGAUGAUAGUGCAGAAAGAAAAAGUGAAGAUUUGAAAGUUAAGAAAACAAAUUUUGCCUUGCUUUAUCUCUUUUUAUAAAAAACCUAGUAGAUAUCUAGCACACAAAAUAUAUUAUCGAAGCAGCAAAUAUUACCUUCAGAAAGUAUUAACAAAAUGACUGAAAUAAAAUUAGAAUAAAGCAGUCUGACUUCAGAAAUAUUGUAAGUUAACAAAGUUUGAUCGAUGGUGAAUUAUGACUUAUCUAUUUCAGAAAAUAUUGACAAAAUUAACAAGAAAUUUUUACAGCAAACAAGGUUAAACAUUUCUGUUGAAGGAAGCACCCACUUAUUUAUUGAACAUAUAUUAACUGCUUGAAACAGCAUUUGGUGAAGAUAGUGCAUUCAAUUUGUGAGUACAAUGUAUUAAAGUAUUUGUACUUUAACUACUGUAUGUAAUCAAGUAUUACUUUCGAUAACCAAAUGUUGUACACAAAAAAUAUAUUUAAGAUAUUUGCUGCAAAAGUUGCUUAAAGAACUUUAUAUGUGGUUAAGUUAUUUUACUAAUUUAAAAUACAAAAAAUAUUAACAACUCUUAAUAAACCUACUCAGUUCCUAUUUUAUAUCUGAUAAAAUGGAAGAAAACCUUUUAGAAUUGCACUGUCACUCACAAUAACAUAAUAUCUCGAUGGUGUAAGAUAGAAAAAUCAUACAGUGGUUAGUUUAUAAAUAGUUUUAAAAACAGUACAGCUAAUUUCAAAUUUGUUUUCAAGUUUUAUUAGCAGUAGAAAUAAUUAAAACUAGGAUAAUGUUUAUGUUAUCGAAGUGAGUGUAUUUGAAGUACUUGUAGCUGGAAAACCCACUAGAUGAAAUUUUUUAGCAUCAAAUACAUGUAAAGGAGAUACUAACUAGAAUGAACAUCUGAGAAUAGUUUCCUUAAUAGAUCCAUUCUCUAUACUUAGAAAUUGAAAAUGUGUUACAUAAUUUUGUUCAAUACUAAACUAUUUACCAUUAACCUUUAAUAUAAAAUUAGGAAGCUAAGACUAAUGUUAAUGUAGAGGGUUUAUCAUAAAAAAAAUUAUUUGAAACACCUUUUACUCUUUUGUUGCUUUAUUCUCCAUUAUAAACUUAGUUUAAUAGCUUUAGCAACUUAAAUUGUAGUACUUUACUUAAGUUAAAACUUAGGAAUAAAUGAUCAUUUUAAGUCCAGGUGUAAAAUGUACUACUAUGCACUUUUUACUCUUCCUUUUUUCUCUGAGAUUGUUAUAAGUUUGGGGAACUAUCUUUAUUUCUAAACCAAGUUUAAUUUGAAGGACUAAUACAUAUACAUUCACAUCAUGCCUGUAUUUUAUGUUUUACUAUUAAACUUAAAAGAAAUUGAUGGCAUUUGUGAAAUGCUUAAGAAAUUAUUACUAAAUAAUAUAUUAGGAUUAAGGAGGGAGGUUUUAAAAUCUGGAACUGAACAAGUAUUGUAGGUGAGAACAUUUAUUACUAAAUUAUUUAUCUGAUAUCUGCCAUGUUUGCUCAAAAAGCUACAUUUUUGCUGGCAUUAUCACCACAUGUAUGUAUAAAAUUCUUCAUAAAGUAUUUACCUUGAUUUUGUAAUGUUAGUCUUUUAUAAAAUAAAAACAAAACUCACAAUUUCAAAUUUAUGUAUUCAAUGCAAAGAGGAAUCUUGAAACUUUUAUUAUCUAUUUUGAUAUAUAUGACUUUGGCAAAUGAAUUAUCACUGAACUUAGAAGUACCGAAUGAGUUAUCA